ensembl:lncRNA
CACAUGACCUGGAUGACUGAACCUACAGACAUAUUGACCUGGUUUCAUGGUCACAUGACAGAUUGACUGAAGAUGAUGAUGGAGGAAGAGGAGGACAGAGCAGAGUCUGCAGUGUCCAGCUGUCCGUCUGUGAGGAGCGACCGGUCCAAAGGUCUAAAUCCAGACUUCAGUGGUGAACCUGGAGCAACGAGAGGUCAGAGGUCACAGUCUGCAGGGUCCAGCUGUCCAUCUGUGAGGAGUGACCGGUCCAAACGUAGCAAUCCACUCUUCAGUGGUGAACCUGGAGCAACGAGGUCAGAGAGCUGUGAUGACUCCUUUACAUGUUUGUGUUUCCUGGAUAAAUAUGACCUGAAACAUCCUCAGAUUGUUACAAAGAUUCAUUAAAAAGAAAACAAUGAAAGAGAAAAG